UUCACUCUCACUAAUGCACUUGAGCAACACCUCUUGUGGAGUCUUUUUUGAACAACUUAUUCCCAAUAAUGACGUAACUUAGCGCCUUAUAUUUUGUUUUUUGAUUUGUUGUUCCUGUUAGGUUUUUAAGGAACUCAAUAAUUUCCCUUCGCCAAUCGUUGUUUUCUAUGUUGUCGAUGGUGUAAGACCCCAAUUUUGUCCC
rnacentral:lncRNA from 1 species